GAGUUUGAUCGUGGCUCAGGAUGAACGCUAGCGACAGGCUUAACACAUGCAAGUCGAGGGGCAGCGGAGAGGAAAGCUUGCUUUUCUCUGCCGGCGACCGGCGCACGGGUGAGUAACACGUAUGCAACCUACCCCUGGCAGGGGGAUAACCCGGAGAAAUCCGGACUAAUACCGCGUAACACCGCGGGGAGGCAUCUCCCGGCGGUCAAAGGAAGCGAUUCCGGCCAGGGAUGGGCAUGCGGCGCAUUAGGCAGUUGGCGGGUAACGGCCCACCAAACCGACGAUGCGUAGGGGUUCUGAGAGGAAGGUCCCCCCACACUGGUACUGAGACACGGACCAGACUCCUACGGGAGCAGCAGUGAGGAAUAUUGGUCAAUGGGCGCAAGCCUGAACCAGCCAAGUCGCGUGAGGGAAGACGGUCCUAUGGAUUGUAAACCUCUUUUGCAGGGAGCAAGCGCGGGACGCGUCCCGUAGCUGAGAGUACCU
rnacentral:rRNA from 1 species